rnacentral:rRNA from 1 species
UACGAGAGGCGCAAACGUUAUUCGGAAUUACUGGGCUUAAAGAGUUCGUAGGCGGCGCAGAAAGUAGGGUGUGAAAGCCCUCGGCUUAACCGAGGAAUUGCGCUCUAAACUACUGUGCUUGAGGGACCUAGAGGUGAGCGGAACUGAUGGUGGAGCGGUGAAAUGCGUUGAUAUCAUCAGGAACACCGGGAGGCGAAGGCGGCUCACUGGGGGUCUUCUGACGCUGAGGAACGAAAGCCAAGGGGAGCGAACGGGG